rnacentral:rRNA from 1 species
AGCAUGGCGGCUGCUUACCAUGCAGUCGACGAAACCUUUCGGGGUUUAGUGGCGGACGGGUGAGUAACGCGUGAGAAUCUGGCUUCAGGUCUGGGACAACCACUGGAAACGGUGGCUAAUACCGGAUGUGCCGAGAGGUGAAAGGUUAACUGCCUGAAGAUGAGCUCGCGUCUGAUUAGCUAGUUGGUAGUGUAAUGGACAACCAAGGCGACGAUCAGUAGCUGGUCUGAGAGGACGAUCAGCCACACUGGGACUGAGACACGGCCCAGACUCCUACGGGAGGCAGCAGUGGGGAAUUUUCCGCAAUGGGCGAAAGCCUGACGGAGCAAUACCGCGUGAGGGAGGAAGGCUCUUGGGUCGUAAACCUCUUUUCUCAGGGAAGAACACAAUGACGGUACCUGAGGAAUAAGCAUCGGCUAACUCCGUGCCAGCAGCCGCGGUAAUACGGAGGAUGCAAGCGUUAUCCGGAAUGAUUGGGCGUAAAGCGUCCGCAGGUGGCGAUGUAAGUCUGCUGUUAAAGCGUCUAGCUCAACUAGAUAAAAGCAGUGGAAACUACCUACGCUAGAGUGCGUUCGGGGCAGAGGGAAUUCCUGGUGUAGCGGUGAAAUGCGUAGAGAUCAGGAAGAACACCAGUGGCGAAGGCGCUCUGCUAGGCCGCAACUGACACUGAGGGACGAAAGCUAGGGGAGCGAAUGGGAUUAGAUACCCCAGUAGUCCUAGCCGUAAACGAUGGAUACUAGGCGUGGCUUGUAUCGACCCGAGCCGUGCCGUAGCUAACGCGUUAAGUAUCCCGCCUGGGGAGUACGCCGGCAACGGUGAAACUCAAAGGAAUUGACGG